AAGGAACAACGGCCUCGUC
rnacentral:snRNA from 1 species